rnacentral:tRNA from 1 species
AUAGUUUAAUGUAGAAUACCAGCUUUGGGAGUUGGUGGUAGAGGUUAAAUUCCUCUUUUUCUGAGCAACUCUAAGAAGG